GAAAAAAGGAAGGAGAGAUGAGGAAGUGAAGUAUUAGCUUCAGUUUCCCUCAGGGGAUAAUUUUAUUUUAUUUUCAUUUUCAUUUUUAUUUUCAUUUUAUUUUGUAACUUCAAAGUUGUUGAUUCUUCUUUAUAACGAGGGACUGGAUUCAUGCAGGAGGCGAGCUCGAUCAGAACUUUCUCAAUCAACGAGAGUUCAGAAGCAGACCCUGGUUCCAGCUUGGAGUCGCCUAAGCCGCUUCUUGUUGCGUCCGAACUGUACCCGCAAGGGACCCCACUCUGAGACCGAGCGGUACCGGUUAUUCAACCUCGCUUGGACCUGUCGGUACCCAGGGACAGCGGACAACUCUUCAAAGCGUAUCAAAUGACUGUGGGCAGAGACUUGAUGGACUCACCUGGACGCAGUUCAGCUGAUGAGGUGUGCCUCUAUUUAAGCUGGCUGCAGAGAUCCAUCCAACGCUGGAAAAUUCAAUUACCUUUGAUUCCUCGUUAAGACCUCUGAGUUUCUGAAGUCAGAACCUCUCCUGACGGAUCUUCAGAAACAAGCCUUGCUGUAAGCUCUCUUUGGAAUCACCCCCGAAAGUCCUCCGCCUGUCACUCUCUCCAACACAUUCCACCUGCAAAACAACAAACCAAAGCCAGAAUAUCUGUGGAACCAAACUUCAUCUUGGUGUCUACACCCUCCCUUCCAUGCCAAGCCUCCUCCUUGGAAACUCUAAA